rnacentral:rRNA from 1 species
UACGUAGGGUGCAAGCGUUAAUCGGAAUUACUGGGCGUAAAGCGUGCGCAGGCGGUUUUGUAAGUCUGUCGUGAAAUCCCCGGGCUCAACCUGGGAAUUGCGAUGGAGACUGCAAGGCUAGAAUCUGGCAGAGGGGGGUAGAAUUCCACGUGUAGCAGUGAAAUGCGUAGAGAUGUGGAGGAACACCGAUGGCGAAGGCAGCCCCCUGGGUCAAGAUUGACGCUCAUGCACGAAAGCGUGGGGAGCAAACAGGAUUAGAAACCCCAGUAGUCC